rnacentral:lncRNA from 1 species
CACCCCACUGGCUUUGUGAUGACCCAUAACCCAAAGGACCAACACAACAAACCCACCCUAUUGCCUUUGCAAUGGUGCAGUACCCGAAGAGCUGACCCACAUAUAUCCCACAGCCACACCGGGUGCAACAAACCCACCCCAGUGCCUUUGCAAUGGUGCAAAAUACAGAGGGCUGACCCACAACGUGUCCUACAGCUGCACCAGGUGCAGCAAACCCAAACCAUUGCCUUUGCAAUGGUGCAACACCCAAAGAGCUGACCCACAUAUAUCCUACAGGCGCACCGGGUGCAGCAAACACACCCCACUGACUGUGCAGUGGUGCAGUACCCGAAGAGUCGAUGCCACAAACCCACCCCAUUGGCUUUGCAAUGGUGCAACACCCAAAGGAACGACCCACAGGUGUCCUACAGCCACACUGGGUGCAGCAAACACACCCCACUGCCGUUGCAGUGCUGCAGAAUAUCAAAGGCCAAUGCAACAAACCCACCCCAUUGCCUUUGCAGUGGUGCAACACCCAAAGGCCCAACCCACACAUGUCCUACAGCCACACGGUGCAGCAAACACAGCCCACUGCCAUUGCAGUGCUGCAGAAUAUCAAAGGCCAAUGCAACAAACCCACCCCAUUGGCUUUGCAGUGGUGCAACACCCAAAGGCCCAACCCACACAUGUCCUACAGCCACACUGGGUGCAGCAAACACACCCCACUGACGUUGCAGUGCUGCAGAAUAUCAAAGGCCAAUGCAACAAACCCACCCCAUUGCCUUUGCAAUGGUGCAGUACCCGAAGAGCGGACCCACAUAUAUCCCACAGGCACACCGGGUGCAGCAAACACACUCCAUUGGCUUUGCAACGGUGCAAAACCCAAAGGUCUGACCCACAACGUGUCCUACAGACACACUGCAUGCAGCAAACACACCCCACUGCACUGCAAUGGUGCAAAACCCAAAGGACCAAUGCAGCAGACCGCCCCACUGCACUGCAGUGGUGCAGAACCCAAAGAGCCGAUGCAACAAACCCAAACCAUUCGCUCUGCAGUUUAGGAUGGAGAGAUUGAUGCACCCGGGGCAGACAGUGACCUCCUCGGCCCCACACCUAUGGGGCUGCUGCUGUCCAAGCAUCAGCACUAUGGGGUCGGAUCGCUCCUACGGUGCCGAUGUCCCCAUUCCGGCUGCCAGGACUGCCGCUCUUCGGACACAGCGCCGCAGAGGACGGUUCCCACAGUGCACCCAUUGGGAUCCAC